CCGCCUCCUCCCUCCCGCUGUAACCCCCUCAGCUCUCUCAUUGCCAUUAUGAGGAAAUCCUCCAAGGGAGGUAAAGGAACCCCCAAACUAGAGCAAGCCCCAGUGAAUGAAGCAGUGGACGAAGUCAAAGUCAAAGCUGUCAAUGAAAUGAUGGAGAGAAUCAAACACGGCGUGGUUCUCAGGCCUGUGAAGAGUCAGGACACUAAGGUGAGGUU